AGCAGCCGCGGUAAUUCCAGCUCCAAUAGCGUAUAUUAAAGUUGUUGCAGUUAAAAAGCUCGUAGUUGAAUUUCGGGAUCAAUUUGCUGGUCGUGCCUUCGGUACGCACUGGUAUUAUUGGUUUCUCCUUUCUGAUGAAUCACGAUGUCAUUAAUUUGGUGUCGUGGGGAAUCAGGACUGUUACUUUGAAAAAAUUAGAGUGUUUAAAGCAGGCUCACGCUUGAAUACAUUAGCAUGGAAUAAUGAAAUAGGACGUUUGAUUCUAUUUUGUUGGUUUCUAGGAUCGACGUAAUGAUUAAUAGGGAUAGUUGGGGGCAUUAGUAUUCAAUUGUCAGAGGUGAAAUUCUUGGAUUUAUUGAAGACUAACUACUGCGAAAGCAUUUGCCAAGGAUGUUUUCAUUAAUCAAGAACGAAAGUUAGGGGAUCGAAGACGAUCAGAUACCGUCGUAGUCUUAACCAUAAACUAUGCCGACUAGGGAUCGGAUGAUGUUAAUUUUUUAAUGACUCA
rnacentral:rRNA from 1 species